rnacentral:rRNA from 1 species
UACGUAGGGUGCGAGCGUUAAUCGGAAUUACUGGGCGUAAAGCGUGCGCAGGCGGUUCGCCAAGUCAGGUGUGAAAUCCCCGGGCUUAACCUGGGAAUUGCGCUUGAAACUAGCGGGCUUGAGUGCGGCAGAGGGGGGUGGAAUUCCACGUGUAGCAGUGAAAUGCGUAGAGAUGUGGAGGAACACCGAUGGCGAAGGCAGCCCCCUGGGUCGACACUGACGCUCAUGCACGAAAGCGUGGGGAGCAAACAGGAUUAGAAACCCCCGUAGUCC